rnacentral:rRNA from 1 species
GGGUUGUGAGGUUAAGCGAAUAAGCGUACACGGUGGAUGCCUAGGCAAUCAGAGGCGAUGAAGGACGUGCUAAUCUGCGAAAAGCGUCGGUAAGGUGAUAUGAACCGCUAUACCCGACGAUAUCCGAAUGGGGAAACCCAGUAUCCAAUGGAUACUAUCAUUAACUGAAUCCAUAGGUUAAUGAGGCGAACCGGGAGAACUGAAACAUCUCAGUACCCCGAGGAAAAGAAAUCAACCGAGAUUCCCCUAGUAGCGGCGAGCGAACGGGGAGCAGCCCAGAGUCUUAAUCAAUAGCAGUGUCAGGAGAACGGUCUGGAAAGUCCGGCAGUAAAGGGUGAUAGCCCCGUAUCUGAAGAUGCUGUUAUUGUGAACUCGACGAGUAGGGCGGGACACGUGUUAUCCUGUCUGAAUAUGGGGGGACCAUCCUCCAAGGCUAAAUACUCCUGAUUGACCGAUAGUGAACCAGUACCGUGAGGGAAAGGCGAAAAGAACCCCGGCGAGGGGAGUGAAAAAGAACCUGAAACCGUGUACGUACAAGCAGUAGGAGCCUCUUUAUGGGGUGACUGCGUACCUUUUGUAUAAUGGGUCAGCGACUUAUAUUCUGUAGCAAGGUUAACCGUAUAGGGGAGCCGUAGGGAAACCGAGUCUUAACUGGGCGAAUGAGUUGCAGGGUAUAGACCCGAAACCCGGUGAUCUAUCCAUGGGCAGGUUGAAGGUUGGGUAACACUAACUGGAGGACCGAACCGACUAAUGUUGAAAAAUUAGCGGAUGACUUGUGGAUGGGGGUGAAAGGCCAAUCAAACCGGGAGAUAGCUGGUUCUCCCCGAAAGCUAUUUAGGUAGCGCCUCGUGAACUCAUCUUCGGGGUAGAGCACUGUUUCGACUAGGGGGUCAUCCCGACUUACCAACUCGAUGCAAACUGCGAAUACCGAAGAAUGUUAUCACGGGAGACACACGGCGGGUGCUAACGUCCGUCGUGAAGAGGGAAACAACCCAGACCGCCAGCUAAGGUCCCAAAGUCAUGGUUAAGUGGGAAACGAAGUGGGAAGGCUCAGACAGCCAGGAUGUUGGCUUAGAAGCAGCCAUCAUUUAAAGAAAGCGUAAUAGCUCACUGGUCGAGUCGGCCCGCGCGGAAGAUGUAACGGGGCUAAACCAUGCACCGAAGCUGCGGCAGCGACACAUAGUGUUGUUGGGUAGGGGAGCGUUCUGUAAGCCUGCGAAGGUGUACUGUGAGGUAUGCUGGAGGUAUCAGAAGUGCGAAUGCUGACAUAAGUAACGAUAAUGCGGGUGAAAAACCCGCACGCCGGAAGACCAAGGGUUCCUGUCCAACGUUAAUCGGGGCAGGGUGAGUCGACCCCUAAGGCGAGGCUGAAAAGCGUAGUCGAUGGGAAACGGGUUAAUAUUCCCGUACUGGUGGUAACUGCGAUGGGGGAACGGAGAAGGCUAGGUUGUCCGGGCGACGGUCGUCCCGGUUCAAGCAGGUAGGCAGAGUGAUUAGGCAAAUCCGGUCACUUAAUGCUGAGAUGUGAUGACGAACCACCAAGGUGGUGAAGCAAUUGAUGCCCCGCUUCCAGGAAAAGCCUCUAAGCUUCAGGUUACCAACAAUCGUACCCCAAACCGACACAGGUGGUCAGGUAGAGAAUACUCAGGCGCUUGAGAGAACUCGGGUGAAGGAACUAGGCAAAAUGGUGCCGUAACUUCGGGAGAAGGCACGCUGGCGGUAGGUAAAGUCCCUCGCGGACAGAGCUGAAGCCAGUCGAAGAUACCAGCUGGCUGCAACUGUUUAUUAAAAACACAGCACUGUGCAAACACGAAAGUGGACGUAUACGGUGUGACGCCUGCCCGGUGCUGGAAGGUUAAUUGAUGGGGUCAGCCGUAAGGCGAAGCUCCUGAUCGAAGCCCCAGUAAACGGCGGCCGUAACUAUAACGGUCCUAAGGUAGCGAAAUUCCUUGUCGGGUAAGUUCCGACCUGCACGAAUGGCGUAAUGAUGGCCAGGCUGUCUCCACCCGAGACUCAGUGAAAUUGAACUCGCUGUGAAGAUGCAGUGUACCCGCGGCAAGACGGAAAGACCCCGUGAACCUUUACUAUAGCUUGACACUGAACAUUGAGCCUUGAUGUGUAGGAUAGGUGGGAGGCUUUGAAGUGUGGACGCCAGUCUGCAUGGAGCCAACCUUGAAAUACCACCCUUUAACGUUUGAUGUUCUAACCUAGGCCCAUAAACUGGGUCGGGGACCGUGUCUGGUGGGUAGUUUGACUGGGGCGGUCUCCUCCUAAAGAGUAACGGAGGAGCACGAAGGUUGGCUAAGCAUGGUCGGACAUCAUGCGGUUAGUGCAAAGGCAUAAGCCAGCUUGACUGCGAGAGUGACGGCUCGAGCAGGUACGAAAGUAGGUCUUAGUGAUCCGGUGGUUCUGAAUGGAAGGGCCAUCGCUCAACGGAUAAAAGGUACUCCGGGGAUAACAGGCUGAUACCGCCCAAGAGUUCAUAUCGACGGCGGUGUUUGGCACCUCGAUGUCGGCUCAUCACAUCCUGGGGCUGAAGUAGGUCCCAAGGGUAUGGCUGUUCGCCAUUUAAAGUGGUACGCGAGCUGGGUUUAGAACGUCGUGAGACAGUUCGGUCCCUAUCUGCCGUGGGCGUUGGAAGAUUGAGAGGGGUUGCUCCUAGUACGAGAGGACCGGAGUGAACGCACCACUGGUGUUCGGGUUGUCAUGCCAAUGGCAUUGCCCGGUAGCUAAGUGCGGAAGAGAUAACCGCUGAAAGCAUCUAAGCGGGAAACUUGCCUCGAGAUGAGUCUUCCCUGUCGCUUUAAGCGACCUAAAGGAACGUUUAAGACUAAGACGUUGAUAGGCUGGGUGUGUAAGCGUAGCGAUACGUUGAGCUAACCAGUACUAAUGAACCGUGAGGCUUAACCUGACAACACCGAAAGUGUUUUG